GAUGAACGCUAGCUGCAGGCUUAACACAUGCAAGUCGAAGGACCGGCACGCGGGAGAGUAACGCGUAUCCAACCUCCACUUUACUCGGGGAUAGCCUUUCGAAGGAACGAUUAAUCCCCGAUAUAAGGGAUGUGGAUGCGUUCCAGUAGGUUGUUGGUGAGGUACCCGCUCACGAAGCAUUCGAUGGAGAGGGGUUCUGAGAGGAAGGACAUCGACAUUGGAACUCAGACACGGUCCAAACUGCGAGGAGAGGCAGGAGUGCGGAAGAUUGGGAAAUGGGCGCUAGCGUGAACCAGCCAAGUAGCGUGAAGGACGAAGGCGUAUGGGGCGUAAACUACCGUGAUAUAAGAAUAUGUAUUAGAUGAAUAAGGAUCGGCUAACUCCGUGCCAGCCGCCGCGGUAAUAC
rnacentral:rRNA from 1 species